UCUAGCCAUGUCGAACAUGUU
ensembl:piRNA 21ur-4578 ncRNA